rnacentral:rRNA from 1 species
UACGUAGGGGGCAAGCGUUGUCCGGAUUUAUUGGGCGUAAAGAGCGUGUAGGCGGCCAGACAGGUCCGUUGUGAAAACUCGAGGCUCAACCUCGAGACGCCGAUGGAAACCGUCUGGCUAGAGUCCGGAAGAGGAGAGUGGAAUUCCUGGUGUAGCGGUGAAAUGACGCAGAUAUCAGGAAGAACACCCGUGGCUAAGGCGGCUCUCUAGUACGGUACUGACGCUGAGACGCGAAAGCGUGGGGAGCGAACAGG